rnacentral:rRNA from 1 species
GACUACUGGGGUAUCUAAGCCGUUUCGCUCCCCACGCUUUCGUCUCUCAGCGUCAGGAUAACCCCAGAUAGCUGGCUUCCCCCUUGGUGUUCCGCAUGAUAUCAACGCAUUUCACUGCUACACCAUGCGUUCCGCUACCCCCUAGUUACCUCCAAGUCAAAUAGUAUUGAAAGCCUUGUCUCGGUUGAGCCGAGAUAUUUAACUUCCAACUUAUUCAACCGCCUACACGACUCUUUACGCCCAAUAAGACCGGGUAAUGCUUGCACCCUACGUAUGACCGCUGCUGCUGGCACGUAGUUAGCCGGUGCUUACAACGAAGUUUACAACCCGAAGGCCUUAAUCCUUCACGCGGCGUCGCUGCGUCAGGCUUUCGCCCAUUGCGCAAAAUUCCCCACUGCAGCCCCCCGUAGG